rnacentral:rRNA from 1 species
AUUGAACGUUGGCGGCAGGCUUAACACAUGCAAGUCGAACGGUAACAGCAGGUGCUUGCACUUGGCUGACGAGUGGCGGACGGGUGAGUAACACGUAGGAAUCUACCCAGUAGAGGGGGAUAGCUCGAGGAAACUCGGAUUAAUACCGCAUACGCCCUAAGGGGGAAAGGUGGCCUAUUCUUGAAAGCUGCCACUAUUGGAUGAGCCUGCGUCGGAUUAGCUAGUUGGUAGGGUAAUGGCCUACCAAGGUGACGAUCCGUAGCUGGUCUGAGAGGACGAUCAGCCACACUGGGACUGAGACACGGCCCAGACUCCUACGGGAGGCAGCAGUGGGGAAUAUUGCGCAAUGGGCGAAAGCCUGACGCAGCCAUGC